GACGAACGCUGGCGGCGUGCUUAACACAUGCAAGUCGAACGGAAAGGCCUCUUUCGGGGGGUACUCGAGUGGCGAACGGGUGAGUAACACGUGAGUAACCUGCCCUUGACUUGGGAUAACUUCAGGAAACUGGGGCUAAUACCGGAUAGGAGCUCCUGCUGCAUGGUGGGGGUUGGAAAGUUUCGGCGGUUGGGGAUGGACUCGCGGCUUAUCAGCUUGUUGGUGGGGUAGAGGCUUACCAAGGCUUUGACGGGUAGCCGGCCUGAGAGGGUGACCGGCCACAUUGGGACUGAGAUACGGCCCAGACUCCUACGGGAGGCAGCAGUGGGGAAUAUUGCACAAUGGGUGGAAGCCUGAUGCAGCAACGCCGUGUGCGGGAUGACGGCCUUCGGGUUGUAAACCGCUUUCGCUCAUGACGAAGCUUUGUGUGACGGUAGUGGGUAAAGAAGCACCGGCUAACUACGUG
rnacentral:rRNA from 1 species